ACAUACGACCAUAUCUAUUAGAGAAUAUGGAACACCGUUCGCUCACCUAGGGUUAAGCUAAUAAGAGGUAGGUUAGUAGUUGAGUAGCUAACCAUCAGCGAACACCGGCUAUUGUAUGUU
rnacentral:rRNA from 1 species